rnacentral:misc_RNA from 1 species
GAUGAAGAACGUAGCGAAAUGCGAUAAGUAAUGUGAAUUGCAGAAUUCAGUGAAUCAUCGAAUCUUUGAACGCACAUUGCGCCCGCCAGCAUUCUGGCGGGCAUGCCUGUUCGAGCGUCAUUUCAACCAUCGACUUCCCUUUGGGGAAGUCGGCGUUGGGGACCGGCCGUAUACCGCCGGCCCCGAAAUGAAGUGGCGGCCCGUCCGCGGCGACCUCUGCGUAGUAAUCCAACUCGCACCGGAACCCCGACGUGGCCACGCCGUAAAACCCCCGACUUCUGAACGUUGACCUCGGAUCAGGUAGGAAUACCCGCUGAACUUAAGCAUAUCAAUAAGCGGAGGA